UAAAACUCAGUUAUUAGGGAGUGGGACAGAAAUGAUAUUUUCGUAAAAUUUAUUUCGUCGUCCCACCCCGGCAAGGUUGACUAGAAUUGAAAAAAGCUUGUUACAAGCGAAUUUUCGUUCAGUCAACUACUGCCAUUAUAACUUUGUAGAGCAUAGAACAUUGAUUUAU
rnacentral:ncRNA from 1 species